rnacentral:rRNA from 1 species
GGGGAAUUUUAGGAGCUGCAAACUCCCCUA